GGGUCAGUGAUGAGAACUGUCAUCUCGUAGGGAGAUGGUGACUUAAAGGUAAGUUUCAGUGUGAGUGUGCUGGGCCC